GAUGGAGUCAGUGUGUGACAGACUGUCUGAUUGUGGAGGUGGGAGCUGUGUGGGACCAAAAUGUGGUUAUUAAUAUCAGCGUGUCCACAGGCUGUCAAGGCCCAGAGAGAAUCAUGGUUUCAGCUAAUCGUUCGCUCAUUCCUUUAGCAAAAAUGCUUCCUUUUGCUGAAAACUAGGCAGUACUGUGUCCCGUGGCUGCUGGGGGUGAAUGAGACAUAAUCCCUUCUCUAAAUGGGUUUGUAGUCUAAUAAGGGAAGGAAACCACGCGCACAGUCACGACGGUCCAGGGCAACUUCAUCGGUCCUGCAUCGAGAGGACACGAAGUGCUCCUAGAGAAGACGAGGCCUCUCAUCUCGGUGACCUGACAGGAGUAACACCGUGUGCUCUUCAGAGAGGAAUAACACGCAGUGACGGGUGGGAGACACUCUUUUUCAGACCAGGAAGCUGAGCCCCUAUCCUUUCACCCGUUGGAGAGGAGCCCUCGCCGGUGGUCGUGGCAGGAACCCGCGCCCGGACGUUCUGCCACGUUUAGCGUCACAGACAGAAGGAGCUGGAAGCGCUUGCCUGCCGUAAUUGGCUCUCUCUAGGCUGCUGCUUUGUGAGAAGAGGCGAUGCUCCCUCCCCUACACACAGUGAUUGCUGGCCCAAAAUAGCCCUGCACCUGCUCUAAGAUGCCUGAGAGAUAAUUUCAGCUUCCAAGGAAACUGCCCUGAUUGGUGUUGAUUUUUCAUGACCUCCCUUCAGGCGAACACCUGGAGAUAAACACCUGAUCACAGAGGCGCAACCCGCAGAGCCCAGGGCAAGGAGGUGUGCGCCCCAGCCCAUCCAGGAGGCCCUCUACUCAUCUCCCCCAGGGAAGGGGGCCCGGGCUUUGGGGCUUCUGCCCCAUGUGGACCCACUCCAAAGGGUUAGAUGUUAACUGGCUGGUGAGAGGGCCAGGAAGGCUGGGGGUCAGAGCUGGGACCACUGCCGGGGUAGCACCUUCAGAAGCGGGGCCUCCUGUCUCGGAUUCACAGUCUGACUCUGACCAACCUUUCCAGUUACCUUCAUCUCUGUCCACUCACCCCUUUCAGCUCAGUUCAGCCCUGUAAGAGGGCCUUCCUUUAACUCAUGCCUGGAGUCCUGGUCAGUUCCCCUUCCAACUCAGCUCUUUUCUGUAGAUCCCACUGUGACCAUCUGUGUGCAGAAGGGUCUUGAAAGGGGCCACAGAAGGAUCAGUGCAGCAGCACCACAUUUAUGCCGCAUUACUGAUGCCCCUACACGUCAGACACUAAGAAGUGGCUUCCGGGGCAUUAUCGCAUCUGAUUCCCUCCAGACCUCCAGGAGGCUGGGGAAGGCAUCCUUUGGGUCUGUUUUUCAGAUGUUUGUUAACUUGCCCAAGGUCUCCCAACCAGAAGUGUUAGUGGUUGGGUUAGGACUUGGUAUUUGAAGUUCACAGUUUUUUC
rnacentral:lncRNA from 1 species